CAAUAGCGUAUAUUAAAGUUGUUGCAGUUAAAAAGCUCGUAGUUGGAUUUCUGGUGGGAGCGAUCGGUCUGGCGCUUAGCGCGAGUACUUGCAUCGUCUCCGGCCAUCCUUGGGGAGAGUCUGUCUGGCAUUAGGUUGUCGGGCAGAGGAUCCUCAUCGUUUACUGUGAAAAAAUUAGAGUGUUCAAAGCAGGCUUAUGCCGUUGAAUAUAUUAGCAUGGAAUAAUAAGAUAGGACUUUGGUACUAUUUUGUUGGUUUGCGCACCAAAGUAAUGAUUAAUAUGGACAGUUGGGGGUAUUCGUAUUCCGUUGUCAGAGGUGAAAUUCUUGGAUUUACGGAAGACGAACUACUGCGAAAGCAUUUACCAAGGAUGUUUUCAUUAA
rnacentral:rRNA from 1 species